GACGAACGCUGGCGGCGUGCCUAAUACAUGCAAGUAGAACGCACAGUUUAUACCGUAGCUUGCUACACCAUAGACUGUGAGUUGCGAACGGGUGAGUAACGCGUAGGUAACCUGCCUGGUAGCGGGGGAUAACUAUUGGAAACGAUAGCUAAUACCGCAUAAUAUUAAUUAUUGCAUGAUAAUUAAUUGGAAGGUGCAAUUGCACCACUACCAGAUGGACCUGCGUUGUAUUAGCUAGUAGGUGAGGUAACGGCUCACCUAGGCGACGAUACAUAGCCGACCUGAGAGGGUGAUCGGCCACACUGGGACUGAGACACGGCCCAGACUCCUACGGGAGGCAGCAGUAGGGAAUCUUCGGCAAUGGACGAAAGUCUGACCGAGCAACGCCGCGUGAGUGAAGAAGGUUUUCGGAUCGUAAAGCUCUGUUGUAAGAGAAGAACGGGUGUGAGAGUGGAAAGUUCACACUGUGACGGUAUCUUACCAGAAAGGGACGGCUAACUACGUG
rnacentral:rRNA from 1 species